rnacentral:tRNA from 1 species
GGGAAGUUAGCUCAGGGGUAGAGCGGCUCCCUUACAAGGAGCGGGUCGGGGGUUCGAAACCCUCACUUCCUACCA